ACCGUUCGCGUUUAUUCAAAACAUACUGUACGCCUGAGAUACUGCAGUUGGUGUACAGGACGUCCUGUCAGAACACGAUAUAUUACAGUCAACCCUUAAGAGUCUAGUCAUGGCCAGUGUUGUGGUGGACAUUGAAUAUUGCGGCGGAUGAGGCUACGCCCCUCGGUACGGCAAGCUGAAGGGCUACCUCGCUUCCAAGACCGAGGUCGACGUUAGUGGCAAGGUGGGCCGCAGGGGUUCCUUUGAAGUGACCGUGAAUGGCAAAUUGGUCUUCUCCAAGCUGAAGGUGGGGUCCUUCCCUUUUAACGAGGACAUUUUGGAGGCUGUCAACCAAGCCAAGCAGGGCCUGCCUCCCAAAACCAUCAAAGAAGGUCAAGGUCAGACUUGUGUCAUUCUCUAGACGAAUGUGACAUUCAGAACACACCGGUCGUCAAAGAAACUCUGUGUCUACGCCCGAGCUGCUGCCCGAAUGAUGGCCUAUGCAGAAAUCUCCUUGCACUGGCUUAAUGUGCCGCGGAGUUCGGACCGAGGCGCCGAUUCCUAUUUGUCGAUCGUAUCGCAAAGGACAUGAAUUGAUAUUAUUUAUUAAUCUGUUUCUAUAUAGAUGAUACUCAACCAGCCAUUGAUAUUAAUUCUCUAUUUUUAGCAUAUUUCAUUUAUGGAGGUAAAGCUACGAUUGCACAGUGUUCAGUGGGUGAAAUAAUACGGGUAAAUACUUCUGUUUAUUUUUUUAAGUCGAAAGCAAUCUCGUUAAAAUGAUAUCUUUCAAUCCGUUACAAUAGCUCUCUGAGGGUAGAUCUGACUAAAUCUCCAUAGGAGGUCACACAAGGUGAAAGUUCUUAUUUCUUAUUAGCACAAGGGGGGGCGGUGGGGUAGCCUAGUGGUUAAAGCGUUGGCUCGUCACGCUGAAGAACCGGGUUCGAAUCCCCACAUGGGUAAAAUGUGUGAAGCCCAUUUCUGGUGUCCCAAGCCGUGAUGUUGCUGGAAUAUUGCUAAAAGCGGCGUAAAACCAAAACUCAGUCAGUAUUAGCACAAGGACUUUUCAGAGCAGAGCCAGAAUUCCGAUCUGGGUUUCAUCAGCACCAACUAAAAUGGUCAGUUGCGAAUGCAUAUGAUAAAGGUCAACACGCUGUUUAUCACCAACAUUAGAUAUGUAUUCAAUACCACUGAACAAAAUAAAUGUGUAAUCUCUAU